CCUCCCUUCCUGGGCUGGUCCUUCUGUGCUAAGCUGGCCCGGGGCCAGGCUGCUCCCCGAGAGAUGUACAAGCCACUGGGGCUUGUGCUCAGUGACAUUCACAAAGAUUUAAAAAAAAAAAACUACCAGCUUUGUGGGGGACUGGGCUGACCUCCCACUUCCUGAAUUGAUCACGAUUUUCGCUUUCCAGACAUCCUCUUCCUGAAAUGGAUGAGUGUUCCACCCCACAGCAGCAAACAUUAGCAGUAUCGGGAGUACUGGGGGUAGAACCCAGAGACUUGAACACACUCAGUCAUCAAGCAGCACUUCAUUUAAAGACAAGAGUGAGUUGAAGCUGUUAUUUGUAACCUCAGCCAUGCCUCAGAACGAUGAGAAGAAUCAGAAGUGCUGACAGCUUGGGAUGCAAGCUAGUAUUGGAAGAGUUUAUAAAUGGUAACAUUGAACAUCCAGUGGCAGGGGUUGGAGAUUCAUCGGUGACUCUGAAGAAUCAUUUGGUCCAAUGGUUUUGUAGCUUCAUUGCCAGAUCUAAUAACCCCCUUUGAGGGCAGGACCCCAUCUCUACUCUGCAAACCUUUCCCCAGUCUAUGGUGUCAAUGAGCAUCAAGUUUUCAUUAAUAAAAAACAGAAGAAACCAUCAACUCUAUCAGAGGUUGCUGAAGAAAAGGUGACAUUCAGUGUAAGCAGCAUUGAGAAUCUGAACACUGGGCUAUUCCUGUCACCCUGGGGAGCCAGGCAACCUCCAGGGUAGCACCAGAGCUAGUGAGAGCUCACGGCCUAUGGACUGACAGCUGGAAAACCUGUACAGGAAACUAGACCCUCUGAUUGUGGGUG
rnacentral:lncRNA from 1 species